GUGACUGCGUACCUUUUGUAUAAUGGGUCAGCGACUUAUAUUCUGUAGCAAGGUUAACCGAAUAGGGGAGCCGAAGGGAAACCGAGUCUUAACUGGGCGUUAAGUUGCAGGGUAUAGACCCGAAACCCGGUGAUCUAGCCAUGGGCAGGUUGAAGGUUGGGUAACACUAACUGGAGGACCGAACCGACUAAUGUUGAAAAAUUAGCGGAUGACUUGUGGCUGGGGGUGAAAGGCCAAUCAAACCGGGAGAUAGCUGGUUCUCCCCGAAAGCUAUUUAGGUAGCGCCUCGUGAAUUCAUCUCCGGGGGUAGAGCACUGUUUCGGCAAGGGGGUCAUCCCGACUUACCAACCCGAUGCAAACUGCGAAUACCGGAGAAUGUUAUCACGGGAGACACACGGCGGGUGCUAACGUCCGUCGUGAAGAGGGAAACAACCCAGACCGCCAGCUAAGGUCCCAAAGUCAUGGUUAAGUGGGAAACGAUGUGGGAAGGCCCAGACAGCCAGGAUGUUGGCUUAGAAGCAGCCAUCAUUUAAAGAAAGCGUAAUAGCUCACUGGUCGAGUCGGCCUGCGCGGAAGAUGUAACGGGGCUAAACCAUGCACCGAAGCUGCGGCAGCGACGCUUAUGCGUUGUUGGGUAGGGGAGCGUUCUGUAAGCCUGUGAAGGUGUGCUGUGAGGCAUGCUGGAGGUAUCAGAAGUGCGAAUGCUGACAUAAGUAACGAUAAAGCGGGUGAAAAGCCCGCUCGCCGGAAGACCAAGGGUUCCUGUCCAACGUUAAUCGGGGCAGGGUGAGUCGACCCCUAAGGCGAGGCCGAAAGGCGUAGUCGAUGGGAAACAGGUUAAUAUUCCUGUACUUGGUGUUACUGCGAAGGGGGGACGGAGAAGGCUAUGUUGGCCGGGCGACGGUUGUCCCGGUUUAAGCGUGUAGGCUGGUUUUCCAGGCAAAUCCGGAAAAUCAAGGCUGAGGCGUGAUGACGAGGCACUACGGUGCUGAAGCAACAAAUGCCCUGCUUCCAGGAAAAGCCUCUAAGCAUCAGGUAACAUCAAAUCGUACCCCAAACCGACACAGGUGGUCAGGUAGAGAAUACCAAGGCGCUUGAGAGAACUCGGGUGAAGGAACUAGGCAAAAUGGUGCCGUAACUUCGGGAGAAGGCACGCUGAUAUGUAGGUGAAGUCCCUCGCGGAUGGAGCUGAAAUCAGUCGAAGAUACCAGCUGGCUGCAACUGUUUAUUAAAAACACAGCACUGUGCAAACACGAAAGUGGACGUAUACGGUGUGACGCCUGCCCGGUGCCGGAAGGUUAAUUGAUGGGGUCAGCGCAAGCGAAGCUCUUGAUCGAAGCCCCGGUAAACGGCGGCCGUAACUAUAACGGUCCUAAGGUAGCGAAAUUCCUUGUCGGGUAAGUUCCGACCUGCACGAAUGGCGUAAUGAUGGCCAGGCUGUCUCCACCCGAGACUCAGUGAAAUUGAACUCGCUGUGAAGAUGCAGUGUACCCGCGGCAAGACGGAAAGACCCCGUGAACCUUUACUAUAGCUUGACACUGAACAUUGAGCCUUGAUGUGUAGGAUAGGUGGGAGGCUU
rnacentral:rRNA from 1 species